CAGAGGAAAUCUCAAAUCAUUCAUGUAAAUACCUGCCUCCCCUUGAGGCUAUAAAAGGGGAGCCAGGGCUCACGACCAAGACAGGUUCACCAACAAGUUCAACCACGUAGCACAUACACCACAGCUCUAGGCUAGUUCACUCACAGAGUAGCAACCUGCGCUCUGUCCAUCACACAAAGCCGAGACCUGGGACUUAGCCCUCUCUCGCAACUUGCUUGUACACCCCUACUACAAGCACCUUUGGGUGCAAGGCAAUACAGACCCCCGAUCUCAUUGGACGUAGGGCAUCCUUAGUCCGAACCAGUAUAAAUCCUCUGUGUUUCGCUUGCAUCACCAUCCGGGUUUAGGUAGUCACGCAUACUUAUACUCGUUUGUGUCUGGACCACGAAUCUAGACGCCGACAAUUGGGUUAUAGAUUUAUCUCCUAUCAAGCUUAAUUGAUACAUGGAACUUUAUUAUUUUGAGCUGAUAUUUUUAGCAUAGUCAUGAUUCAGUGAUGUACACAAUCUGAUUUUUUAAGAUUUUUAGUGUCCUACAAAUACAUGAACAAAUUAACCAUAGUUAACUUUGUUUAUUUAUGAAGAGAAGCAAAAUAGUCAUUUUUAGUGCAAAACAAUAUUUUAUUGUGUAGUUCUCAUCAUGUAGAGUCUAGAAGAUUUUAUGGUAUAAUUCUAGACACUUAUAUUAUUUUAUAUCUAUUUAUAAAAGUAUUUUGUUAGGCCCGCUACCAAUCAAUUUAUCAAGAACUAGAGUGUCUUUCAAAAAUCGUUUGAAAAUAUGUGUCCAACAACAAAUUUUGACUUUACAAAAUCAGAUAGCUAAUGUCAGUGGUUGGCUAUAUAUGGCCACUAAAAAUCAAGGGAUAGCCAACUUUUUAUUGUAUAAACCAAAUAGCAUAUAUGUUUGAACCUACUUUUUGUUAUGCAAAUUCUAAAAUAGCCUCUACAAAGAAAGCUAUUGGAGUUGCUUUUAGUUUAUUUUUUUGUUCCAAAUUUAGUAUUGUUUCGUUCAAUUCGGUCUAUUGUACAGUUUUUCUUCUAUUGGAUUCUAUGUUUUUUGGUCGAUUUUUUAGGUUACGGUUUCUUGAUUCUUUUUCUUCUUUCUUCCCAUUUUUUUUAUUUCAAGUACUUUUUGUUUUGAUUUUUCUCCUAAUAAAGGUGAAACGACUGACAAACAAUAAAUGUAUUACAUUGUUUUGAUCUCUUGACCAUUCUCUAAGGAACAAAGUUUUUAACCAUCAAAUUAUUGAUAUCGUUUUGAUUAGGAAACAACUCAUAUUAGAAAUGGUUCAACUAAUCAAGCCGUGAACCAAAAUCUUAAAUAGUUUAUUGUCCAAUUCAAUCUAAAUUAAUGUAUCUUCAAAUUGUACACCUUGACAAGUCCUUGCCACCUUUUAAUCAAAUAUUUGAAUUGUAGACUUUUAUGGGUCUUUAAAGGAAGUCGCACAACUCAAUAUUUAACAGAUUUAUGGAUAAUAUGAGAAUCAAAGUUAUAAUAUAUUUACGAGUAAAUAUUUAUGUGCUUUAUAAUGAGAAAAAUAUAUUAGGAUUGUAUUUAAAUUUUGAUAC
rnacentral:lncRNA from 1 species